AUUGAACGCUGGCGGCAGGCCUAACACAUGCAAGUCGAGCGAGCGGCGGACGGGUGAGUAAUGUCUGGGAAACUGCCCGAUGGAGGGGGAUAACUUCUGGAAACGGUAGCUAAUACCCCAUACCACUAGAUGUGCCCAGAUGGGUGUAGCUGGUAGGUGGGGUAACGGCUCACCUAGGCGACGAUCCCUAGCUGGUUUGAGAGGAUGAGCAGCCACACGGGAACUGAGACACGGUCCAGACUCCUACGGGAGGCAGCAGUGGGGAAUAUUGCACAAUGGGCGCAAGCCUGAUGCAGCCAUGCCGCGUGUGUGAAGAAGGCCUUCGGGUUGUAAAGCACUUUCAGCGGGGAGGCGUUACCCGCAGAAGAAGCACCGGCUAACUCCGUGCCAGCAGCCGCGGUAAUUC
rnacentral:rRNA from 1 species